UUGGUUAUUAACUGAAGGAAGUUGAUCUGCAAUUAUUCUAGCAGGUAACUGAACCAUGGUAUAGAGAGAACAUAAAAGAAGGAAUCUGGGCUUGCUGUGGUCUUUAUUAAUUUCUUCAUUAUGAAUACCUCUCCUAUGUUCUUCUAAGCCCCCACCCCACCACAUGUGAUAAGGAAAUAGAAAAGAGAGCAGCAGAGUGUCUACCGUUGGCACAAUGGGCUGUGUUUCUCUAACUCUGGGGCCUUGAGUUGUUGGAGAGGACAUCACGAAAGGCUCGUGUCCCCAUCGAACAGACCCUGGGAACUGGGGCAGCAGAAGCAGCUCUGAUGUGAAUUUGGAGAUAAGAGCAUGUUCUACACUCUUGGACCCGGACAAAUUUGGUCUCGCGUGAUUGGAUCAGAGUGACACCACUUGUGGCCUCAUGAAGCCCCAAAGCCUUCUUGGUUCCUGUCUUUGUGGAGUGCGGAUGACCUCUCUAGGAGCAGGAGACGAGUGUGAUGAAGUACUGAGAGGUUCCACAUGGAUAUAGAAGAUGAUGUUCCCCUUGGGAGAGAGGAUCAAAGCCCCCCCCGGGCUGUUUGCUGCUGAGUUUUACUCCUAAUAAUCUUUGUGGCUUCUGCCCCAACCUGCCUGCAGGGCUCUGAGAUGGAGUGAGCUCAAAACUGUGGAAAAACAAAGAAUACGGAGAAAAAUCCAUUACUCUUAGCAUCCGAGCUGGUGUUCCAAACAGAUAGAUCGAAGCCUUGGCUGGAGAGAGGGGAGAGAGAGAGAGAGAGAGAGAGAGAGAGAGAGAGAGAGAGAGAGAGAGAGAGACAGAAGCAGAAAUGUUUAUGGUUUACCCUUGGGAACCUGGAUUGGAUCUUAAUAACUUGUAAGGCCUGGACAGCUCACACUGAACCUCUGCAUGAAGCUCAACACAUAUUUGUCAAAUGGCUGGAUCCAUUCAUCCACUCACCGAAUGAGCACUGUGUGAGCUGCAGUGCCCAUGGCGUUGAACUUGGAAACCUGAGGAAAUGAUGAUACCAGCAAGAGAAAGGGGAAGCUGGAGAAGGACCUCGUCUUGGGAGUAGAUUGUAAGUUUGAAUUCACCCACGGCUGGCCUUAGGUAAUGUGAUAGUCAAGAUCCAGUGUCCAUGGACAGCAGGUGGCUGGAAAAGAGGACUCAAGGUUGACUUUGAUGAUCACAGCACGGAGUCAGUUCUCGUCUAGGAAAACAUGAUCAUAUUUGGUGUUUUAAAGAGACUUUGCUAUGUGAGAUGUGUCCAAAUGGAGGAACGAGGAUGGUGCAGGGCUGAGACUGUGGCUAGAACAUUUGGCUUCAUAGAGCAAAGUCUACAAGGAUAUAUUUAGUUGUCAUUGUAUUUGGUGGCCUCACAUUCAGCAGGAGUAGACUUGUCCUGUGUCACUGCUGAUGGAUAAUUCUCCACGGAUCUCUCAGGUUCUGUCCCUGUUGCAAGUAAGGCACUUACUGCUCUGUUCUGGACUCUCUUAAAACUACACAUACAGCACAGCUUUGGAGCACAGAGAUAAUGCCAAAGUUCUUUAUCAAGCUUGAGAUCCCUACUGUAAUUAUUACAAUUCUCCUUUUUUUUUUUUUUUUGAGAUGGAAUUUCACUCUUGUUGCCCAGUCUGGAGUACAAUGGUGCGAUCUUGGCUCACCGCAACCUCCACCUCCAGGGUUCAAGCAAUUCUCCUGCCUCGGCCUCCCGAGUAGUUGGGAUUACAGGCAUGCGCCAGAAUUCUCAGCUAAUUUUGUAUUUUCAGUAGAGAUGGGAUUUCUCCAUGUUGGUCAGGCUGGUCUCGAACUCCCGACCUCAGGUGAUCCACCUGCCUCGGCCUCCCAAAGUGCUGGGAUUAUAGGCGUGAGCCACCGCUCCCGGCCCAGUUAUUAUUCUUAUCCAAUUACUUGCUUCCUUGGUGCUGACAGAAAGAUUAAUUUAAAUAAAAUACCCUGCUGGGUAAUAUCUGCUUUUUAGUUUCCGAUAAAGUCCAGGGCAUGCCUGGAAGGGCUUCCAGGAAGGGGUCUUCUGAUGAGUCAGCCGAUGUGCCUCCCCAACUUCAUGGAAGACCCCGUUGUCAGAAGUUUGAAGGACAUAUACCAUGCUUGCACAUGUUCGACGGAUAAUUUAAAAAAUUUAAAUGUAAAUAGUUGUUAAGGAUAUAAUUUCCAAUGAACCUGGAAACCAUCAUUCUCAGCAAACUGACACAAGAACAGAAAAUCAAACACCGCAUGUUCUCACUCAUAGGUGGGUGUUGAACAAUGAGAACACAUGGACACAGGGAGGGGAGCAUCACACA